rnacentral:lncRNA from 1 species
UACUUUUAUCCACGCAAACUUUUAUGGGAAAAAAGGGGUAAGAAUUAGUAAGGAAAUGGAAGAGAGGUCACAUGUUGUCAUAAGAAUAACAUAAGAACAAAACUUACUUUGGAGCAGUGCCAUAACAAGAUUUAUCCUGUCUUUUUUUUUUUUUUUUCUUUCUCUUCUUGAGGUUCAAAUUCUCUCCAGCACACCUUUCUUUAGAUAAGAAAAAUUCUCUACAUUUC